GUGGACGUUGGAGAUUUGAGGAAAGCUGCUCCUAGUACGAGAGGACCGGAGUGGACGAACCUCUGGUGUUCGGGUUGUCACGCCAGUGGCAUUGCCCGGUAGCUAUGUUCGGACAGGAUAACCGCUGAAAGCAUCUAAGCGGGAAGCCCCUUCCAAGAUGAGAUCUCCCUGGGCCCUUGAGGCCCCUGAAGAGCCGUUCAAGACUAGGACGUUGAUAGGUCGGGUGUGUAAGCGCUGCGAGGCGUUGAGCUAACCGAUACUAAUUGCUCGUGCGGCUUGACUAUAUAACACCCAAG
rnacentral:rRNA from 1 species